rnacentral:tRNA from 1 species
GGGCUAGUGGUGGAACAGGUAUACACGAUGGACUUAAAAUCCUUCGGUCAAUAUGACCAUGAGGGUUCGACUCCCUCCUGGCCCACCA